rnacentral:rRNA from 1 species
GAUGAACGCUGGCGGCGUGCCUAAUACAUGCAAGUCGAGCGAAAAGACGAGGAGCUUGCUGGUCUGACGUUAGCGGAAGACGGGUGAGUAACACGUGUAUCACCUCCCUAUCAGACUGGGAUCACUUCGGAAAACCGGCUCUUAUACCGGAUAAUAUCUUGAACCGCAUGGGUCAAUAGUGAAAGACGGCUUUGGUGUCACGUAUAGAUGCAUCCGCGCUGCAUGAGCUAGUUGGUAAGGUAACGGCUUACCACGGCGACGAUGCGUAGCCGACGUGUGAGGGGGAUCGCCCACAUGGGAAGUGAGACACGGUCCAUACUACUGCGGGAGGGCGCAGUAGGGUAUCGGAGGCAAUAGGGGAAAGCCUUACGGAGCAGCGCGGCGUGAGUUAUGAAGGUCUUCGGAUCGUAAAGCUCUGUUAUGAGGUAAGAACAAAUGUGGAAUUAGCCGUGCAGUUCGUGACGGUACCUAAUCAGAAAGCCACGGCUAACUACGUG